rnacentral:lncRNA from 1 species
UGCUGGUGCCAUGAGCCGUGCCUGGUGGCGUUGGCAACACAAAUAUGUCCAACCCAAACGCGCUGGUAUUGCUCCCUUCUUCCAAAUCACCGCUGUCGCUAUGACAUUCUUCUAUACCAUUAACUACGGCAAGAUGAGACACCACAGAAAUUACAA